GCACAAGCGGUGGAGCAUGUGGUUUAAUUCGACGCAACGCGAAGAACCUUACCUGGGCUCGAAAUGUAGUGGACCGGGGUAGAAAUAUCCCUUUCUAGCAAUAGACUGCUAUAUAGGUGCUGCAUGGCUGUCGUCAGCUCGUGUCGUGAGAUGUUGGGUUAAGUCCCGCAACGAGCGCAACCCUUAUCUUCAGUUGCUACCAUUUAGUUGAGCACUCUGACGAAACCGCCUCGGAUAACGGGGAGGAAGGUGGGGAUGACGUCAAGUCCUCAUGGCCUUUAUGUCCAGGGCUACACACGUGCUACAAUGGCCGGUACAAACCGCUGCAAACCCGCGAGGGGGAGCUAAUCGGAAAAAGCCGGCCUCAGUUCGGAUUGGAGUCUGCAACUCGACUCCAUGAAGCUGGAAUCGCUAGUAAUCGUGGAUCAGCAUGCCACGGUGAAUACGUUCCCGGGC
rnacentral:rRNA from 1 species